rnacentral:rRNA from 1 species
AAUCGGACCAGCCGAUGGAUAGUCAGUAAAGAAUCAGAAUUACCUGGAAAGGUAAGCCGGAGAGGGUGACAGCCCCGUACGAGUAGAAAAGCUGACUGUUCUUGAGUAAGGCGGAGCACGAGAAAUUCUGUCUGAAAAUGGGGAGACCACUCUCCAAGGCUAAGUACUACUGAUUGACCGAUAGUGAACAAGUACCGUGAGGGAAAGGUGAAAAGCACCCCUAUAAGGGGAGUGAAAGAGAACCUGAAACCGGAUGCCUACAAGCAGUCGGAGGGUCAUAAGGCCUGACGGCGUACCUUUUGUAUAAUGGGUCAGCGACUUAAUUUAUGUAGCAAGCUUAAGCCGAUAGGUGUAGGCGUAGAGAAAUCGAGUGUUAACAGCGCGUUAAGUUACAUGAAUUAGACCCGAAACCGAGUGAUCUAGCCAUGAUCAGGUUGAAGGUUGGGUAACACCAACUGGAGGACCGAACCCACUCCCGUUGAAAAGGUAGGGGAUGAAUUGUGGCUAGGGGUGAAAGGCCAAUCAAACUCGGAAAUAGCUGGUUCUCCGCGAAAACUAUUUAGGUAGUGCGGUGAGCGGACACCUUGAGGGGUAGAGCACUGGAAGAGCUAAGGGGGAGCGAUCCUUACUAAACUUUACCAAACUCCGAAUACUCAAGAGUGAUACUCACCAGACAGACAUUAGGUGCUAAGGUCUAGUGUCGAGAGGGAAAGAGCCCAGACCGCCAAUUAAGGUCCCAAAAUUAUGGCUAAGUGGUAAAGGAAGUGAAACGUCCAAAACAGUCAGGAGGUUGGCUUAGAAGCAGCCAUCCUUUAAAGAAAGCGUAAUAGCUCACUGAUCUAAACAAGACGUCUUGCGCCGAAGAUGUAACGGGGCUAAAGCCAUAUACCGAAGUUGCGGAUUUACACGUUAAAGUGUAAGUGGUAGCGGAGCGUUCUGUAAGCCUGCGAAGGUGUACCGUAAGGUAUGCUGGAGGUAUCAGAAGUGAGAAUGCUGACAUGAGUAGCGAAAAGAAGAGUGAGAGACUCUUCCGCUGAAAGUCCAAGGUUUCCUGCGUAAAGCUAAUCUGCGCAGGGUUAGUCGGUCCCUAAGGCGAGGCAGAGAUGCGUAGUCGAUGGCAAUCAGGUUAAUAUUCCUGAACCGGCCCGGAAGUGACGGAUUGAGUAAAUUGUAAGUUCUUAUUGGAUUGAGCUUGCAGUGAAUCAGUCCCAGGAAAUAGCCCGGGCUAAGACCGUACCCGAAACCGACACAGGUGGACAGGUAGAGAAUACCAAAGCGCUUGAGAGAACUAUGUUGAAGGAACUAGGCAAAAUACUUGCGUAACUUCGGGAUAAGCAAGCCCCAUUUUAAGGCAACUUAGGGUGGGGGGCACAUACUAGGGGGUAGCGACUGUUUACUAAAAACACAGGGCUCUGCUAAAUUGAAAGAUGAAGUAUAGGGUCUGACGCCUGCCCGGUGCUGGAAGGUUAAGGAGAGAUGUGCAAGCAUUGAACUGAAGCCCCAGUAAACGGCGGCCGUAACUAUAACGGUCCUAAGGUAGCGAAAUUCCUUGUCGGGUAAGUUCCGACCUGCACGAAUGGCGUAACGACUUCCCCGCUGUCUCCAACAUAGGCUCAGCGAAAUUGAACUCUGAGUUAAGAUGCUCAGUACCCGCGGUUAGACGGAGAGACCCCGUGAACCUUUACUAUAGCUUUGCAGUGGUAUUAGGUAACAAAUGUGUAGAAUAGGUGGGAUGCUAUGAAGCUACGACGCCAGUUGUAGUGGAGCAGACUUUGAAAUACCACCCUUUUGUUGUUUGAUAUCUAACCUGCUCCCGUUAUCCGGGAGAGGGACACUGCAUGGUGGGUAGUUUGACUGGGGCGGUCGCCUCCAAAAGAGUAACGGAGGCGCGCAAAGGUUGGCUCAGAUUGGUCAGAAAUCAAUCGUCGAGUGCAAUGGCAUAAGCCAGCCUGACUGCGAGAGAGACAUUUCGAGCAGAUACGAAAGUAGGUCAUAGUGAUCCGGUGGUCCCGAGUGGAAGGGCCAUCGCUCAACGGAUAAAA